rnacentral:rRNA from 1 species
CCUACGGGUGGCAGCAGUAGGGAAUAUUGCUCAAUGGGGGAAACCCUGAAGCAGCAACGCCGCGUGGAGGAUGAAGGUUUUCGGAUUGUAAACUCCUUUUUUUAGAGAAGAUAAUGACGGUAUCUAACGAAUAAGCACCGUCUAACUCCGUGCCAGCAGGCGCGGUAAUGCGGGGGGUGCAGGCGUUACUCGGAAUCAAUGGGCGUAAAGAGCGCGUAGGGGGGUUAGCAAGUCAGAUGGUAAAACCUAGGGGUUAACCAUAGAAUUGCAUUUUAAACUGUGAUUCUAGAGUACAGGAGAGGUAGGUGGAAUAAGUUAUGUAGGGGUAAAAUCCGUAGAGAUAAAGUAGAAUACUCAUAGCGAAGGCGACCUGCCAGAACAUAACUGACGCUGAUGCGCGAGAGCGUGGGGAGCAAACAGGAUUAGAUACCCCGGUAGUC